UACAGAGGGUGCAAGCGUUGUUCGGAAUUAUUGGGCGUAAAGGGUGCGUAGGCGGCGCGGUAAGUCGGGUGUGAAAUUUCGAGGCUUAACUUCGAAACUGCAUUCGAUACUGCCGUGCUAGAGGACUGGAGAGGAGACUGGAAUUUACGGUGUAGCGGUGAAAUGCGUAGAUAUCGUAAGGAAGACCAGUGGCGAAGGCGGGUCUCUGGACAGUUCCUGACGCUGAGGCACGAAGGCCAGGGGAGCAAACGGG
rnacentral:rRNA from 1 species